GAGGCUGCAAUCGUCGAUGGCGGCGCAUACGUAAGAUUAGAGCGUCGAAUUAAGGCUCUCGACCUUCGUACGGGCAAUCUCAUAAUGCGCAUCGCUGAGGGUACCCCUUACCGAUACCCUCGACACCAUGGAUCCAAAGAAACAAAUCAAUAAGCCAAAUCAAGAUGUGCAUGUGUGGCGAAUGAAUGGUGUAUGGUGAUGAUGGUGAUAACAAUGGUGAAAGUCUAAUUCUACUUUUGCUCUUUUGAGGGGAUACAUACCUUCCUUGCUUUUUGAAACUUUAUGAGGAGAAUGAGAUGCUCUUCUUUUUCUUUCCUCUCAGGUGGGUAUCUUGUACCCCUAAUUCUAUUGUCGGACACUUGUCCAUUUUUACCUCUCGUCUCACUUUUUCUUUCUUUCGAGGUUCCGGGCACUUGCCUCUUUUUAUUUCCUCGUAUAUUAUUAUUUUUUUCCUUUUCUUCUCUUUUUUUUCAGAGCACUCAUCUCUUGAGAUAAUAUAGCAAAUGGUAGUAGCAAUAUAAUUUGAGUAUUUAUUUCACAAGGGAAAACAGAAUUAUUUUUGGCUAUUCUCUCCCGGAUUAGGAGUAGAAUAUUUUUGGGUGGUUCUGGAGAUGGAUAUAUGUGGAUGGUACUUCCAGAGUAGAAGUAGCAUAUAUGAGUGACUGUGCAAGUGAAUCUUGAUUUAACCACAUGACAAGCUCCUAAGGGUCUACACAGCUUGACCACACUCAAUGCUCAUAAGCAGUAAAUAAUAAAUGUGUGGCUCAAAGUCUAGCAAGCAUGUAUAUAUGGCUGUGGUAGGAAUUUAAACUCUCAUCAUACAGGAACUCAUCAUGCAAUAUUUUAAAGAUUUUUCAAAGAUAAAAUUCUCCAGAAUUCUAGCAUCUCUAGGAAUAGAUAAACAACAGCUCAACCUUCCCAUAUUAUAUCCGUUAACAACUUAGACUUUAGAUCAAGUACUCUUUCCACAAGUUUAGGUUUAGACUAGGUUUAAAUUAUAACAGUUAUGCCUAAACUUGAGAGAGAGCUCAAACUUGACAACUAGGUACAUGGCAGAGCAACUAUUUAUCAUAUCUAUGUAAGAGUUUAUCAUUUAAGUUCAGUUUGGCCUAGACACUUUAUUUAUUUAUUUAGCAAACUAAGCAUAUAUAUAAGCACAAAAUCUUUAUUUGGGUUUUCAUGAUUAUGCAUCUUUUUAUUAUUUGAGUAAAGUAUAAACGUUAACAUCUUAGAUUUCAGAUCAAGUUUUCAUCCCAAAAGUUUAGAUCUAGAGCAAG
rnacentral:lncRNA from 1 species